rnacentral:rRNA from 1 species
GCAGAAUUCGCCCUUAGAGUUUGAUCCUGGCUCAGGAUGAACGCUAGCUACAGGCUUAACACAUGCAAGUCGAGGGGAAACGACAUCGAAAGCUUGCUUUUGAUGGGCGUCGACCGGCGCACGGGUGAGUAACGCGUAUCCAACCUGCCCAUCACUUGGGGAUAACCUUGCGAAAGUAAGACUAAUACCCAAUGAUAUCCCACGAAGGCAUCCGAAUGGGAUUAAAGAUUUAUCGGUGAUGGAUGGGGAUGCGUCUGAUUAGCUUGUUGGCGGGGUAACGGCCCACCAAGGCGACGAUCAGUAGGGGUUCUGAGAGGAAGGUCCCCCACAUUGGAACUGAGACACGGUCCAAACUCCUACGGGAGGCAGCAGUGAGGAAUAUUGGUCAAUGGGCGAGAGCCUGAACCAGCCAAGUAGCGUGCAGGACGACGGCCCUAUGGGUUGUAAACUGCUUUUAUAAGGGAAUAAAGUGAGUCUCGUGAGACUUUUUGCAUGUACCUUAUGAAUAAGGACCGGCUAAUUCCGUGCCAGCAGCCGCGGUAAUACGGAAGGUCCGGGCGUUAUCCGGAUUUAUUGGGUUUAAAGGGAGCGUAGGCCGGAGAUUAAGCGUGUUGUGAAAUGUAGUGGCUCAACCUCUGCACUGCAGCGCGAACUGGUCUUCUUGAGUACGCACAACGUGGGCGGAAUUCGUGGUGUAGCGGUGAAAUGCUUAGAUAUCACGAAGAACUCCGAUUGCGAAGGCAGCUCACGGGAGCGCAACUGACGCUGAAGCUCGAAAGUGCGGGUAUCGAACAGGAUUAGAUACCCUGGUAGUCCGCACGGUAAACGAUGGAUGCCCGCUGUUGGCCUGAAUAGGUCAGCGGCCAAGCGAAAGCAUUAAGCAUCCCACCUGGGGAGUACGCCGGCAACGGUGAAACUC